AAAGAAAAUAACAAUGAUUCCCUUAGUAACGGCGAGUGAAGGGGGAUAAGCUCAAAUUUUAAAUCUGCUGGGUUAUACCUAUCAGAGUUGUAAUUUGAAGAAGCGUUUACCGCGUCUCGGUUGGCCCAAAUCCUUUGGGAUAAGGUAUCAUGGAGGGUGAGAAUCCCGUUCGGCCGAUUUUAUGACGUUUUACGUUACGCUUUCAAAGAGUCGAGUUGUUUGGGAUUGCAGCUCAAAAUGGGAGGUAAAUUUCUCCUAAGGCUAAAUAUCGGCGAGAGACCGAUAGCGAACAAGUACCGUGAGGGAAAGAUGAAAAGAACUUUGAAAAGAGAGUUAAAUAGUACGUGAAAUUGUUGAAAGGGAAACGAUUGAAGUCAGUCGUACUUACGAGAAAUCAACUCUUCGGUGCAGAUUUGUGGGCGUGCGUGAGCCUUACGGCCUCGUUGUUUGCAACGUCUGUGUUCUUGGGGUGUACUUUUUCGUGUGGUAGGUCAACGUCAGUUUUGUUCGCUAUAAAAUAACUUGAGGAAUGUAGCUUCGAUCUUGUAUUGAAGUGUUAUAGCCUUUCGUGGAUGUGGCGUUCGGGACUGAGGAUUGCAACGAAUACCUUUUUUGGGCUAUCCGCCUGACCUCUGAUAGUUGCUUGGGUGUCGAAAGCUUGCUUACGGUUAUUGAGGUUCGUCGUCAAAAGGUUAGAAAGUGAUUAAAUU
rnacentral:rRNA from 1 species